AGUCAGGGGUCCCUUUAUCUUUAAUGCGGAAUUAUCUAAAACACUGAAGAUUUUUCCCUCAGGCAGUAUUGUAAUUUUGUGCCGGAACUGUUGCUAAGGGCAUUGCCAAGGACACUCUGGGCUAUCUGAAGACUCUGCUCUCUGCUGCCUCCUCCCCUCCCCCUCCUUUUUCCUGAGAAGAGCUUGAAACAGGCUUCAUUGAAAGGUGCUUGAACCUCAAAAAGACAUAACCUCAUCUUACAUUCGCCGCUCAGCAGAACACCAAACAAAACACAAUCAAUAAUCUAGUGUGCCGCUUUAAACAAAUCCCUGUGGAAAAAUUGCUCUGCUUGAGAUCUGCACUUGGUCAUCCCAGCAGUAGAGGUAUUGCAUUUCCUGGGACGGGGAAAGGCACCGCUGCUGAUCUGCACCUUCCUUCAAAUGCUGCUGUUGCCACCAUGCACAUUGCCAGGACUCCUGCAGAGACAUCCUUUUCAUUGCACUAUGACGAUCUGUGCUCAGGGUGCUUGUGGGGUGGUCAUGUUGGUCCCGCUUUCAGUACAGUUUCUGCUAAGAAAGAAAGAAAGAAAGAAAGAAAGAAAGAAAGAAAGAAAGAAAGAAAGAGAAAGAAAGAAAGAGGGGAGGGAAACAAAGGCGGCAUCUUUUGUUUCAUUUUGGUGGGAUUUUAUGGAUACAUUUAAAAGAAGAAAAUUUGCCUUUGUCUCUUCCACAUGACUCUCAAUAAAUUUGGUAUAAGUAACAUCUAAUCAGCUGAAAAAUUUUCUUGGCGUAAUGUAGGGCCUUUUAUUCUUUGUACUCCUUGUGCCUCGGAUGGUUUCGGUUAUAGGUCUAUGUAUCUGUAUAUCUUGCAAGUCAUGUGUGCCACACCUCUUUUCUCUCUCGUUUCUUAUGAUGGUACCCUCCACCCACAUGCCUGUAUCUUAUCGCAAAUAUCUGGAUAAGCAAAUAUAUAAUUACUUCUUGUGAAUGUAACAUCCCAUGCCAGCCUCGGUUUGGUUCAGUUCAGUUUUUAUGUG